rnacentral:rRNA from 1 species
UACACACCGCCCGUCACACCAUGGGAGUGGGUUGCACCAGAAGUAGCUAGUCUAACCUUCGGGAGGACGGUUACCACGGGUGUGAUUCAUGACUGGGGUG